UCUAGGUUUUCCUAUAAAUUGGGGUCCUGAUACUGCAACCUUUACCCAAGAAAAAAUCCUCAGGAAAACAGUACUGGUGAAUAAAAACUGCAGUAUUAGUUGCAGAUUUCUAUAUAGUGAAGGUAAGACCUAAUGUUCAUCAUCAUAGCCUGCUGACUGCUGUACAAGACUGUGUAAAACAUAGUUUCCCAAAGUGCCAGUUCCACACUUGUGGAAUAACAUACUUCCAAAUCUUUAUGAAAACGGUGAACUUCACUGAGCUAAACACAACCAUAAUUAGAAGUAUUGAGCUAGGGUUUCAAAGUCUAAGUACAAUUAAUUAUGUGGAUUUAUUUUGUUGAUGAUCUCCAAGGACAACUUAUUUCUACAAUACAGUGUGAUCAAUAACUGUCAAGAGUAAUUAUAAAUGAUGAUUUUCUAAUUACCAAUUACCGAAACCGAGUCAGCAGUCAACUACUGUAUCCACUUAAUGAGGGAAAAAACCAUAACAUAGCCUGGUAUGCCCUGAUGUCACAGUCAGAUACAUGGAUGGAAAGUGACAGCCAUACAACCACUUUUGGUGAUCAAGGUACAUGGAUAAAUUGCUACAGCUGUAAACAAACUCUGCUUGCUCUGUAUGGGAGAAAAAAAAAAGGGGAAAAAAGGAAGCAGAGAGAAACAAAACAAUCAACUUAUGAUUUCCAAAGGAGUCUGUAAGAGUAUGACAUCCUGACACUUCAGAUUUGACUGAUGUCUUCCACUUGAAUAAUUUCAUCAAAAUCUAACAGUGGGCACAAAGAGAACUUCCAGAUAAUACUAUUGCUUUCUAACCCAGUUGGCUGCUGCAUGUGUUACAUUUUUAAUCAUCUUGAAGCCACCCAGAAGCCAUUUCUUUACCAGCACAUAAACGGGAGAAGCUGUUGCCUCAAGCCUGCUAUCUCUGAAGUCAACAGGAGAAAAAACAAUAAAUCUUUACAUAUUUUGUAUUCUAAUGUUAACACAUGGAUAGUUGUAGAAUUACUCAGUCUAGAGACAAAGCUUUAAAAAAAAAAACAAAACAAAACAGAAAAAGAUAAAGAAGACUGGUCCAAAAGAAAAAAAAUAAUUUCAUGUUAUUAUAUUAGAAUAAUCAUGUUUUACUUACCGUGGGAUAUUUGCAUUUCUAUUUAACAGAAAUGUAAAAUUGUUCAGCUUUGUAUAAC